ensembl:snRNA U6 U6 spliceosomal RNA
AUGGUUCACUUUGGUAGCACAUAUACUAAAAUUAGAAAGAUACAAAGAUUAGCAUGGCCCCUGGGAAAAGAUGACACACAAAUUUGUAAAGAGUUCCAUAUUUAA